GGUGGAUCAGUGGAUAAGAUGUUGGUUGGCUCCAGGGCAGGGGUGGAUCAGUGGAUAAGAUGUUUGUUGACUCCAGGGCAGGGGUAGAUCAGUGGAUAAGAUGUUGGUUGACUCCAGGGCAGGGGUGAAUCAGUGGAUAAGAUGUUGGUUGGCUCCAGGGCAGGGGUGGAUCAGUGGAUAAGAUGUUGGUUGGCUCCAGGGCAGGGGUGGAUCAGUGGAUAAGAUGUUUGUUGACUCCAGGGCAGGGGUAGAUCAGUGGAUAAGAUGUUGGUUGACUCCAGGGCAGGGGUAGACCAGUGGAUAAGAUUCUGGUGACUCCAGGGCAGGGGUGGAACCGUGGAUAAGAUGUUGGGAGAUUCCAGGGUAGGGAUGGAUCAGUGGAUAAGAUGUUGGUGACUAUAGGGCAGGGGUGGAACCGUGGAUAAGAUAUUGGUGACUCCAGGGCAGGGGUAGAUCAGUGGAUAAGAUGUUGGUUGGCUCCAGGGCAGGGGUGGAUCAGUGGAUAAGAUGUUGGUGACUCCAGGGCAGGGGUGGAUCAGUGGAUAAGAUGUUGGUUGGCUCCAGGGCAGGGGUGGAUCAGUGGAUAAGAUGUUGGUUGGCUCCAGGGCAGGGGUAGAUCCGUGGAUAAGAUGUUGGUUGACUCCAGGGCAGGGGUGGAACCAUGGAUAAGAUGUUGGGUGAUUCCAGGGCAGGGGUAGAUCAGUGGAUAAGAUGUUGGUUGACUCCAGGGCAGGGGUAGACCAGUGUAUAAGAUGCUGCUGACUCCAGGGCAGGGAUGGAACCGUGGAUAAGAUGUUGGGAGAUUCCAGGACAGGGAUGGAUCAGUGGAUAAGAUGUUGGGAGAUUCCAGGACAGGGAUGGAUCAGUGGAUAAGAUGUUGGUUGACUCCAGGGCAGGGGUGGAUCAGUGAAUAAGAUGUUGGUGACUCCAGGGCAGGGGUGGAUCAGUGGAUAAGAUGUUGGUGACUCCAGGGCAGGGGUGGAUCAGUGGAUAAGAUGUUGGUUGGCUCCAGGCCAGGGGUGGAUCAGUGGAUAAGAUGUCGGUUGGCUCCAGGGCAGGGGUAGAUCAGUGGAUAAGAUGUUGGUGACUCCAGGGCAGGGGUGGAUCAGUGGAUAAGAUGUUGGGUAAUUCCAGGCCAGGGGUGGAUCAGUGGAUAAGAUGUUUGUUGACUCCAGGGCAGGGGUAGAUCCGUGCAUAAGAUGUUGGGUGACUCCAGGGCAGGGAUGGAUCAGUGGAUAAGAUGUUGGUGAUUCCAGGGCAGGGAUGGAUCAGUGGAUAAGAUGUUGGUGACUGUAGGGCGGGGUAGAUCAGUGGAUAAGAUGUUGGUUGACUCCAGGGCAGGGGUAGAUCAGUGGAUAAGAUGUUGGGUAAUUCCAGGGCAGGGGUAGAUCAGUGGAUAAGAUGUUGGUUGACUCCAGGACAGGGGUGGAUCAGUGUGUAAGAUGUUGGGUGAUUCCAGGGCAGGGGUAGAUCAGUGGAUAAGAUGUUGGGUGAUUCCAGGGCAGGGGUAGAUCAGUGGAUAAGAUGUUGGUUGAUUCCAGGGCAGGGGUGGAUCAGUGGAUAAGACGUUGGUGACUCCAGGGCAGGGGUGGAUCAGUGGAUAAGAUGUUGGGUAAUUCCAGGCCAGGGGUGGAUCAGUGGAUAAGAUGUUUGUUGACUCCAGGGCAGGGGUAGAUCCGUGCAUAAGAUGUUGGGUGACUCCAGGGCAGGGCUGCAUCAGUGGAUAAGAUGUUGGUGACUGUAGGGCAGGGGUAGAUCAGUGGAUAAGAUGUUGGUUGACUCCAGGGCAGGGGUAGAUCAGUGGAUAAGAUGUUGGGUAAUUCCAGGGCAGGGGUGGAUCAGUGUGUAAGAUGUUGGAUAAUUCCAGGGCAGGGGUGGAUCAAUGGAUAAGAUGUCAGAAUACUGAUUGGAAGGUUUUGAGUUCAAAUCCCAGUGCUGCCACUCUUGGGCC
ensembl:lncRNA